UUAUAUAAAUACUUAUCUUUUUUUGUGAUAGAUUCAGUUUAUUCAGUCAUCAGAUGCCUGAAUUUUUUAAGAUAUUUCUUUUAUUGUAUUUAUUCAAUUUGCUUGAUUAUCUCAUAUUCAAAUAUAACAUUAUCUCUCGCUAUUUAAAACCAUCACUUAAAUAUAAAGAUAUAUAUAAAGAAGUUUUAAAGUUGGAAUCUGAAAAACGAAACAUUAAUGUUGUAGAUGAAUUUCCAAAUUUUGCAAGAUUGCAAAGAAAAAUCAAUGCUCAUAAGGAAGAUAUUGAAAAAAUAGAAAAAGAUCAAAAGCAACAAAUCAAAAGAUACAAAACUCUUUUAAAAUAUAUAAUAUAUACAAUGAAGAUCUUGUUAUCUUUAUAUUAUAUUUGGCAAUAUUAUUCCAAAAUUUUAGUGGCAAUACCUAAAGAGUGGUUAUUUCCCUGCUAUUAUUUUUUACCAAAGUCAAUACAAUCAGGAAAUAUCUAUAUAAUCCCAUGGCUAUUUCUUUCUGAAGAAGCUUCAAAGGCCUUAAUUAAUCAAAUGUUUAUAACAGUGUUUAAUAAAUAAUAUAUAUAUAUCCCAUUUUGUUUAAUUUUAAAAAUGAUUAUUUAUUUUAUUUAAAAUUUAUUUCACAAUUUUUGUAUUCCUCUAUAUAAAUAUAACAUUUAAGAAGAUAUACAAACAAGAGUGCCCUAAAAUCCCUUUUCAUUGCCCAGUUAAAAAAUUAAACUUGGUAUGGCUUGUAUAUUAUAAAUUAGAUUUAAAAAAUUAUCAAAUUUAAAAUGUUUAUUUAUUAUUUUCUUUAAUUUCUUGUUUAUUUAUAUGUUAUGGGUGCAUUAAAUUUAAAUAUUUAGUUAUAUAACUGAUAAUAUUAUUGUGUAUUCUAUUUAUAUGAAUAUGAAACAUUUAUAAAUUAUUUUGAUGUGAACAUAACAAAGGAUCUAAUAUAUUCAGUGUUGAAAUGAUCUAAUAUAUUCAAUUGAACAGUAGCUAACUU